UACGAAGGGAGCUAGCGUUGUUCGGAAUCACUGGGCGUAAAGCGCACGUAGGCGGCCUAGCAAGUAGGGAGUGAAAGCCCUCGGCUUAACCGAGGAAGUGCUUUCUAAACUACUAGGCUUGAAUACUGGAGAGGGUCGCGGAAUUCCCGGUGUAGAGGUGAAAUUCGUAGAUAUCGGGAGGAACACCAGUGGCGAAGGCGGCGACCUGGACAGAUAUUGACGCUGAGGUGCGAAAGCGUGGGGAGCAAACAGG
rnacentral:rRNA from 1 species